UUCCCGCUUGGUGACAGAGUGAGACUCCGUCUCAAAAAUAAAUAAAUAAAGGGGUGGCGGGAAGUGCACUAGGUUUGAAAUCGGAAAGUUGGUGGGGCUGCGGGAGCUGAGUCUGAAGCCCAGCUGUUGGCUACCGUGGGCGCAGAUCUGCUGUGGGGAAGGCGAGGGGACUCAGGCCUGCCUGCAAAGCAUUGUCUUACAUGAUGGUAGAGGACGAACUGGCACUAUUCGAUAAAAGCCUAAAUGAAAUUUGGAAUAAAUUCAAAAGUACUGACACCUCCUUUCAGAUGGCGGGACUAAGAGAUACCUACAAGGACUCCCUCAAAGCAUUUGCAGAAAAACCGUCUGUGAAAUUAAAGGAAGAAGAUAGAAUGGUUGAGAUGUUUCUGGAAUAUCAAAAUCAGAUUAGCAGGCAAAAUAAGCUCACUCAAGAAAAAAAAGAAUAACUUGUUAAAAUUGAUUGCUGAAGUAAAAGACAAAAAGCAAGAAUUGGAAGUACUGACUACAAAUAUCCAGGAUCUUAAGGAAGAAUAUUCUAGGAAGAAGGAAACUAUUUCUACUGCUAAUAAAGCGAAUGCAGAGAGGUUGAAAAGGCUGCAGAAAUCUGCAGACUUGUAUAAAGAUCGACUUGGACUAGAAAUUCGAAAAAUUUAUGGUGAGAAAUUGCAGUUUAUAUUCACUAAUAUUGACCCUAAGAAUCCUGAGAGCCCAUUUAUGUUUUCCCUGCAUCUAAAUGAAGCAAGGGACUAUGAAGUGUCAGAUAGUGCCCCUCAUCUUGAGUGCCUAGCAGAAUUUCAAGAGAAUGUAAGGAAGACCAACAAUUUUUCAGCUUUUCUUGCCAAUGUUCAGAAAGAUUUUACUGCCACGGUUUAUAAUUAAUGUACAAAUAGUAUAUAUUAAAACAGUUUACUUUUCUUCUCUGUUGUGUAUCUCUUUUUAAAAGAAUUCUCAUUAUCUGUUGUCUGCCUGUAAUUCUUUGGUAUUUCUGUAACAUUUUGUGUGGUUUACGUCUUUCAAUCACAGUAGUCCAUCCUUAUCUACAGUUUUGCUUUCCACGCUCAGUUACUCAUGGUUUCAGUUACCCCAGUCAACUGUGGUCUAAAAAUAUUAAAUGGGUAGAGUGCAGUACAAGAUAUUUUGAGAGAGAGAAAAAAGUAUUUCAUAUAUAUAACUUUUAUUACAGCAUGUUUUUAUAAUUGUUCUAUUUUAUUAUUAGUUAUUGUGGUUAAUCUCUUUCUGUGCCUAAUUCAUAAAUUAAGCUUUAUCAUAGAUAUUUGUAUGUGGGGGAAAAACAGUCUAUAUAGGAUUCGACACUAUCUGAGGUUUCAGACAUCUACUAAGGGUCUUGGAACAUGCCCCACAGAUAAGGGAGAACCACCGAACUUUAAUUAAAAUCUUA